CACCGCCUCGCGCACCUGGACGAGUGCCCCGUCGUCACCAAGCUGCCAGAGAGCCCCUUGUGCUCAGGCAACAGAGCCCCAUUUUCAACACCACUUAUCUCAAGACCAAAACAAUGCCAGGUUGUCAAGGCGCAUCUCAAUCUUACCAUGUCCAAAUACGUAUCAUAAUUUUCAAGGACAGAUGAUUCUGAACCGUGAAACUUGCUGACGUACACAUGACAAGUCAUGUUAGGAAAGAGGCAGGUAACUGUAAUACGUGCUCUGAAAUGAGAACUAAGUAUAAACGUAAUACUCUAUGUAUGACAUCAAGUGGGAGAUUCGUUCUGCAUUCCAUAAAUACUUAUUUGAUAUCAGCUGUGCGUCACCCCAGGUUAGGGCUUCUCAGUCUCAGCGCUGCUGACAUCUGGGGACAAUACUUCUUGGUUGAAGGGGACCGUCCUGUGCACCGUAGGACGUUAGCAACAUCCCUGGCCUUGAGCCGGCAGAAGUCAGUAGCACCGCCCCUCUCCUUCAGUGACGACCAAAAAUGUCCCUGGCGUUGGCAAAUGUCUCCUGGGGGCCACAAGCACCCCCAGGGAAAACAGCUGUUGAGGAGAUGGGAAUGUAACGCUAGGGAAGACGAAGGUCUGUCCUCCUGGAGCUGACAAGUGGGGGCCAGGGAGAGGGACAAUCCCAAUAAACAUAUUAUAAAACACCAGACUGUGAUACGUAUGAUGAAGGAAAGUAAAGCAGGGCCAAGGGCUACAGGGUGCUGGAGGGGAGGGCUGUGUGGUGACGGGUGGGCUGAGUAGGGAGGAAAGGAGGCUACGGCUCCUGGGGGACCUGCCAGGUGGCCGUCAGACCUCUGUUAGUUGAUUCUCGACAGCAUGAGGAGCCACGGGAGGGUUUUCAUCAGGAGCGGGGGAUAAUAUAAUCCAAUGCGUAGCAGAAGAAUCUCUGGCUGCCGGACGGGCAGGAGAGAAAAUGGAGACCGGCCAGGAAGGCUCUGACAGUGGCCCAGGUAGAGAGCAAGGUUAGGCUGGGGUGAUGUCAGCAGGAACGGUGGUGAGAGGCCAGCCAGAUUAGAGACGGCCGGAUGUCAUGGUCAGGUGGGAGACAGGUUUCAGAGGAAGAGUUCACUUGACUUGAGGGUGAGAUGGAUUUGCAGUAAGAGAAAGGAAGUUUGCCUAAGUUUUUGCAACUGGGAGGGAAGUAACGGUGGAAGAACAGAUGGGGAUGGGGUGUGGGAGAAGGGACACAGAAAUCAGAAGCUCUGUUUCAAACAGGUUCCAUUUGAGACCCUGUUUACCCUCCAAGCCUGGACGCUGCAAUGGCAGGUGGACACACGAGGCCGGGGCCCAGGACAGAGGCUGGAUGGGGAUAUCAACGUAGGAGACUUCACAUGUGUGGACGGUAUGAAAGCCCGUGGAAGGCAGGCGAUCGCCCGGAGAAGAUGGAGAAGUCCGAGGAUGUGCCCAGCGGCACAGGAACACUUCGCGGGGAGCCAGAGGAGGGGGAUUCAGCAGAGAAGACCAAGAGAAGCAGCCGGUGAGGCAGGAGGACAGUGAGAAGCACGCGGUGGCCCGGAUGGUAAGCGACGAAGGUGUUUCACGGACUGAGCGAGCCAGCGGGUCACGUGGUGCUGAGAGGUGGAGCGGCCUGCAGACCGAGACGGACCAUUAAAUCUGCCGAGGUGAAGAGCAACCUUGAAAGAAUGGUGGCAGACAAGCAUCGAGGAGAGAAACCUGACUGCAGUGGGUUGGGGAGAGAAAAGGAGAUGAGGAAGUAAGAAUGGAGAAAUCCUUCAAGGAGUCUUGCUCUAAAGGAGUGGAGAGUCAUGGGGUGGAAGCUGGAAGGGGCUGUGAGGUCCAGAAGGAGUUUUUUCCCUUUAAGUUGGAGGGAAUGAGCCCACAGAGAGGGAAGCAUUGAUGAGCAAUGGUGCACAAGAUGGGGUAACAGAAGAAGCAAAAUCCUUGAGUUUUGUGCUCAAGAAGCAACUGGGCUCAACGCUGACGUGAAAAGGUGGCCUUGGGCUGGACUGCGGACGGCGUGCACGUGGCACUGGGAAGGGAAGGAGAGUAUUCUGUUACAGACACAGGCAGGCCCGUAGGUUUGGCGGUCGCAGAAUGAAGUAGAGUUGCCUUAUUUUCUCCAAAACGCCGACACCAUCCCGCGUGCGUGCCGGGGACAGGCUGCUGGGAGCGGGGGAGGAAGGAGGACGCCGUUCCCAAUCCUGCAGCAGGUGCAAAGUGAGCGGACGGCGGGAAGGAGGCAGGGGAACUGUGGUUAAUACUGAGCUCCGUAGUUCUAAAUCUGGGGUAACAAAUCCGAAACACUCCAAUCGGCAAGACAACGUUUUUCCACUCUGCCUUCUUCCGCUGUUCGGGCAGGCGGAGAGUUGAACGUAACCGGGUUUGGGGUCUUGCCGGCUGGCCGUGUGGGAGGGGAAGCGGGGAGCAGGGCUGAGUGUCUCCCGACGAGCGGUUCCUGGGACGGACCAAGGACUCAUACAGAUCACAGAGCCCAGGUCAAACUAACCUCUUGGCAGCUAAAUAAAUUCAAGUGCAUAUUCGCUGAUAUAGAAAGACUGGCUAUAGUGAAUGUCAAAAUAGAAUAAUUUUAAAGAUGGGGAAAAUAUAAGAAGAUCCUCAAGACAUACUACCUGGGAUCAAAGGUGAGCACUUAGGAUAGGGCCUUCCUACGACACAAACAAUUUCAUGCUUCUGACAGCCAAGAAUAUAUUAUUAGUUCCAGAUUUACAGGAAACAAGGUGCUUGUGGGAAGUUUUUCUUUAGGUAAAUUGAGUAUCUGACCUCUAAUUAUAUUAGAUUAAGAUAGGCCCUGCCAAGAAAUUAAGCUAUUACUCAGAUGAGUCCACAGAGGAGGCACAAUAAACAAAGUAGCAGCCUAUCCCCAAAUGAGUUCCUCAAGUACCAAUGAGAAUACCUUGCUGGUUCUUCAUUAUUUCAAAACACGGCAUCUCUGAGCUAUAUUAACACAUCUAAGCCCAGCACCUGCCAUCAGGUCAUUGGUCUAUAAAUGCUAGCUGUGAUUAUGACUCAUAAUUACCACGUGAAGACCCAACAAUCUUCCUGUCUUCAGGGAACUCAGAGCCUCGCAGGAGAGACAGAAGAUUUCGUAGAUGCCUUGUGGUGCACGGGAGGUGCAUGCUGUAUGAUGAGAUACUCAAGGUGCUAUGGGGGUCUUAGAAGGGAGGCCCAGCCCAGCCGGAUUUCAUGGCGGGAGGUGUGCAGACGGAGGAACGUUUGGUUUUCAUGAACUAAGAGCUUCUAGGAGGACAGGCUCAAUCAUGUGAAAGGACCAUCAUGUAACCAAACGCGUCUGGCUCUGGGCAAGGAGAACAUUACCUAUGAUUACACAUCAACUUACUAAAUCUUAAACCCAAUUUCAAGGCCAGAGGAGGUCUAAGAAGCAACAACACACUUCGAAAACUCUUGUGGGUCUUCCCAAGCAGGUGGCACAGGAUGGGAGUUGGAUACUAUGAGGCUACAAAUCCAUCCAGGCUACAUAUAAAUGACUGUCCUGUAGAGAAUCCUCCUUCAGUCUCUGAAGAAACCAGAGUCUAACUCUUAGGACUCAGAAUCCUGACUGCCGGCGUUUGCCAUGGCAAGGUGUCCAUUCACUGAGGAUACAGAAUAUGAAUAUGUAAGUAUUUGUACUAAAAGGAUACAUAAAUGUGUGUGUGUGUUCAUGUGUAUAAGGGAGCGGGGCAGGGGGAAAACAUGCAAACUUUAAUAAAAAUGUAACACAGAGAUGAAGCGGGGAUUAAUAAAACUCGAUUCAGACCAAGUGUCU